rnacentral:rRNA from 1 species
UACGUAGGGUCCGAGCGUUGUCCGGAAUUAUUGGGCGUAAAGGGCUCGUAGGCGGUUUGUCACGUCGGGUGUGAAAACUCAGGGCUCAACCCUGAGCGUGCUUCCGAUACGGGCAGACUAGAGGUAUGCAGGGGAGAACGGAAUUCCUGGUGUAGCGGUGGAAUGCGCAGAUAUCAGGAGGAACACCGGUGGCGAAGGCGGUUCUCUGGGCAUUACCUGACGCUGAGGAGCGAAAGCAUGGGGAGCGAACAGG